rnacentral:lncRNA from 1 species
UGUCGCACAUCAAUUUGUUUUACUUCAGUGUUUCUGUUAAUUUUUGUAGGAAUGAAUGGUAAAGGAAUUAGCCUAGUGGAUAGUGACAGGACGUAACGGAGGUUGGAAUUGGAAACAAUGGACCAUGGUCGUAUAAUAAUGAGUCAAUUUACGUGGACCUCAUGGAUGAAGAUGUGAAAAACUAUAAUAGUAGGGUAACCAGUUCAUUUACAAAAGAAGCUUGACAAAGGAUAAGGAAAAAAUUAAUCAAGUUGACUAGCUACCCCUACACUGAUAAUCAACUUAAAAACAAGUUCAACCAACUGCGAAUAACACACACAAAAUUUGUGAGCUUGUGUACGCAAUCAGGAGGUGGAUGGUAUUCUAUUAAAGGUACUGUCGAUGCAACCGAAGAGAUGUGGAACAGGCUAUAUAAGGUUAGUAGCAGCCUGAAUCAUUUCAUUUCAUUUUAUUGUACUUAAUAUUGUCACAUAAUUAAUAUGAUCUAUUGUCCUAUCUUUUAGAUAAAUAGCAAGGCUAAAUCAUUCAGGAAAUUUGGAUCUCCUCACUAUGCGGCUAUGACCCGAGUGCUUGGGGACAACACUGCCAAAGGAAUGAAUGCCUUCGCCUCAACCCAAUCUCCUUCACGAACAGAUAGUUCUGAUCCAGAAUUGAAAAUUAAGGAGGAGGCUGACCUUGAGGAUUUAGAGGUUGACAAUUUUAAAGCUGGUGUCAAAGAGAGAGGAAAGGAGAUUGCGCCAAAGGCAAUUAGCAAAUCAAGGAAAAGGGAUUCCUACUUUGCCAACCUUAGUGCAUCUCUCAAUAUUCUUGCCGAAAGCAGACGUAAGAAAGUGGUAAUCCUCAAAAAUAGAGAGAAAGCUAGAGCAGCAAAUAUUAAUGUUUCCUCUCCAGAUAACGAUAAUUUCCUUGGUCUGUUCAGUCAGUGUUCAUCAAUCCUCAAUGGUAUGGAUGACCUAGAUGGGUUAUCUUACUUCAAGGCUAUGACCAAACUCAAGGAAGAUCCUACCAGGAGACAUAUCUUUCUUGGGAUGCCUGACAAGAGGAAGAUGGACCGAUGCACUAGUUUGCCUUAGGUUCUGUUGUCUGUUAUGUCUGUUAAGUAUUGUUGGAGUUUUCAUGCAGUUCAAACAAUUUGGUUUGUAGCUUAUAUUUGACAAUAAGGAUUGUAUGCUAUGCUAUAUACUAUUUUUUUUAUUUACUAGUUGAUUGACUUUUUAAAAAAUUCAGUAUAUUUCUCUUCCAGCAAUUUAUUGUUUCAUAUUGACCGGUUGAUUGGCUGCUUUUUUAUUUGGUUUAAUAUUCACUGUUCAGUAUAUUGCUUGUUUUAUAUAGGUUAAAACAUAUUACUGUAAAAUUUUCUAUUGUCAAUUUGUGAUUAUUUGUUUUGUAUGUGACCGUUUUAUCGAUCUCCUUAGAGUUGCCAAAUUGCAUUUUGGGGAUCCUUCGAGUCAAAUUGCAUUUUGGGGAUCCUUCCAUUGAGUACUGACCUUCGAGUCUUGGGUCCAUUAGCAAUUCCAACAAAACCACCUUAGUUUAGAUGUUUUCAUUUCUAAUUGGAGCUACUUUUUUAUUUGUGGAAAUUUAGUGAAAGUUGACAAGUGGUGUUUCUGAAUUGCAUUGAAACUUUAACAUAACAUGGUGUUUAAGCUUUUGGGAAACACGAGACCAACCUCUUGGGAUGCAAAAUCAUCAACUUCCGACAUCAGUUACCUCAAACUUCUGCUUUUGUUUGACAUUACUAUACUCUGUUCACAUAAUACAAAUUUUAAUGGUGCAUCUUGUUCCCCUUGUUAUGAACUAUGCGAGUUCUUUUUAUUACAGGGUGAGGAAAAUAUAUUCUCACUUUUUUUUCUUUUUGGGUUUGUGUAGAUGUAAGAAUCGAAUUCAUUCAAAUUGAUUUAAUCUACAUAUACAUAGCAUAUUAUUAUUCUUUGAUAAACAGAGGAAAAACUAGGGGCUUGUCUAUUAUGCUUUACCCUGAAAUUACAGUAUCAACAUUUUGAUUUGUUGCCACAUAUUGCUAUCAGUGGAUUGUCUUCCUGAAACUAUAGAGAAGCUAACUUUAUAAGCAUUGACAAGAAACAAUGGUGUUCAAUGAUGGUAGUGAUGAUGACAGUGUAUUGGGACUAGAAUCUCAUUCAGAUGAUGAACUCGCUAAUGUGUUCGUAAUUUUAGGGAUGCAUGAGCAUCAUCGAAUAUACCAAUCACGUGUUCCUUGUCGAACAUCCAUACUGAGAGGACAUGACUACGUAUUAGAAGUUUUGAAUGGUAAUGAUAUCCAAUGUUUUGAACAAUUUAGAAUGAAACCACAUGUGUUCAUUACAUUCUGUGAGGUGCUCAAGGAACGUAGAUAUUUACUGCAUUCUAGGUACCUAACGGUUCAAGAGCAAGUGUGUAUAUUCUUGCUCUCAAUAGGUCAUAAUAUUCAAAAUCGAAUAAUUCAAGAGCGAUUUCAACAUUCUGGACAUACCAUUUCCAAAUAUUUUCCUAGGGUGUUGAA